rnacentral:rRNA from 1 species
GAACGCGAAGAACCUUACCUGGCCUUGACAUAGUAGAAACUUUCCAGAGAUGGAUUGGUGCCUUCGGGAAUCUACAUACAGGUGCUGCAUGGCUGUCGUCAGCUCGUGUCGUGAGAUGUUGGGUUAAGUCCCGCAACGAGCGCAACCCUUUUCCUUACUUGCCAGCAUUUCGGAUGGGAACUUUAAGGAUACUGCCAGUGACAAACUGGAGGAAGGCGGGGACGACGUCAAGUCAUCAUGGCCCUUACGGCCAGGGCUACACACGUGCUACAAUGGUCGGUACAAAGGGUUGCUACACAGCGAUGUGAUGCUAAUCUCAAAAAGCCGAUCGUAGUCCGGAUCGCAGUCUGCAACUCGACUGCGUGAAGUCGGAAUCGCUAGUAAUCGCGGAUCAGAAUGCCGCGGUGAAUACGUUCCCGGGUCUUGUACACACC